GGCGAACGCUGGCGGCAGGCCUAACACAUGCAAGUCGAACGAAGUCUUCGGACUUAGUGGCGGACGGGUGAGUAACACGUGGGAACGUGCCUUUAGGUUCGGAAUAACUCAGGGAAACUUGUGCUAAUACCGAAUGUGCCCUUCGGGGGAAAGAUUUAUCGCCUUUAGAGCGGCCCGCGUCCGAUUAGCUAGUUGGUGAGGUAAAGGCUCACCAAGGCGACGAUCAGUAGCUGGUCUGAGAGGAUGAUCAGCCACAUUGGGACUGAGACACGGCCCAAACUCCUACGGGAGGCAGCAGUGGGGAAUCUUGCGCAAUGGGCGAAAGCCUGACGCAGCCAUGCCGCGUGAAUGAUGAAGGUCUUAGGAUUGUAAAAUUCUUUCACCGGGUAAGAUAAUGACGGUACCCGGAGAAGAAGCCCCGGCUAACUUCGUGCCAGCAGCAGCCGCGG
rnacentral:rRNA from 1 species